rnacentral:rRNA from 1 species
UAGGGAAUAUUAGAAAUGGACGAAAGUCUGAUCUAGCGACACCGCGUGUGCGAAGAAGGCCUUCGGGUUGUAAAGCACUUUUUGGAAGGAAUAGGAAGGAAGGUACUUCCAGAAUAAGUCUCGGCUAACUACGUGCCAGCAGCCGCGGUAACACGUAGGAGGCGAACGUUAUCCGGAUUUACUGGGCGUAAAGCGCGUGUAGGUGGUUCUGUAAGUAGGGCGUGAAAGCUCCUGGCUCAACUGGGAGAGGCCGUUCUAAACUGCAGAGCUAGAGGAUGGUAGAGGGAGGUGGAAUUCCAGGUGUAGCGGUGAAAUGCGUAGAUAUCCGGAGGAACACCAGUGGCGAAAGCGGCUUCCUGGCCCAUUUCUGACGCUCAGACGCGAAAGCUAGGGUAGCAAACGG